rnacentral:rRNA from 1 species
UACCUGCAGCUCUAGUGGUGUCCGCUAUUAUUGGGCCUAAAACGUCCGUAGCCGGCUUAUUAAAUGCCUGGGUAAAUCGUACGGCUUAACCGUACGAAUUCCGGGUAGACUGAUAAGCUUGGGACCGGGAGAAGCUAGAGGUACUCCUGGGGUAGAGGCGAAAUUUUGUAAUCCUAGGGGGACCACCAGUGGCGAAGGCGUCUAGCUAGAACGGGUUUGACGGUGAGGGACGAAGCCCUGGGGAGCAAACGGGAUUAGAUACCCCGGUAGUCCAGGGUGUAAACGCUGCUUGCUUGAUGUUAGUCGGGCUCCGAGCCCGAUUAGUGUCGGAGAGAAGUUGUUAAGCAAGCUGCCUGGGAAGUACGGCCGCAAGACUGAAACUUAAAGGAAUUGGCGGGGAGCACUGCAACGGGUGGAGCGUGCGGUUU